rnacentral:piRNA from 1 species
UCCCGUNUGCGAGGCCCUAGGCAGAAAGAA